rnacentral:snRNA from 1 species
UUGUGCCACUGCACUCCAGCCUGGGCGACAGAGCAGGACUCCGUCUCAAAAAAAAGAAAAAAUUGGAAUGAUACAGAGAAGAUUGGCAUGGUCCCUGUGUAAGGAUGACAUGCAAAUUUGUAAAGUGUUCCAUAAAAAG